GACGAACGCUGGCGGCGUGCUUAACACAUGCAAGUCGAACGGAAAGGCCCUGCUUUUGUGGGGUGCUCGAGUGGCGAACGGGUGAGUAACACGUGAGUAACCUGCCCUUGACAUUGGGAUAACUUCAGGAAACUGGGGCUAAUACCGGAUAGGAGCUCCUGCUGCAUGGUGGGGGUUGGAAAGUUUCGGCGGUUGGGGAUGUACUCGCGGGUUAUCAGCUUGUUGGUGGGGUAGUGGCUUACCAAGGCUUCGACGGGUAGCCGGCAUGGGAGCGUGGCCGGCGACAUGGGGACUGAGAUAGGGCGCAGACGCCUACGGGAGGCAGCAGUGGGGAGUAUGACGGAGUGGGCGGGAGCGUGAGGCGGCAACGCCGCGUGCGGGAUAACGGCCUUCGGGUGGUGAACAGCUUUCGCCGGUGACGAAGCGUGAGUGACGGUAAUGGGUAAAGAAGCACCGGCUAACUACGUG
rnacentral:rRNA from 1 species